rnacentral:rRNA from 1 species
CUGACACAGGGAGGUAGUGACAAGAAAUAACGAUACAGGGCUACAUCUAGUCUUGUAAUUGGAAUGAGUACAACCUACAUCUCUUAACGAUGAUCAAUUGGAGGGCAAGUCUGGUGCCAGCAGCCGCGGUAAUUCCAGCUCCAAUAGCGUAUAUUAAAGUUGUUGCAGUUAGAACGCUCGUAGUCGGAUUUCGGGGCGGUCUCGCCGGUCUGCCGAUGGGUACGCACUGGCGCGAGCGUCCUUUUUGCCGGAGACCGUGCCUACUCUUAGCUGAGCGGGGGCGGGAGACGGCACAUUUACUUUGAAAAACUCAGAGUGUUUCAAGCAGGCAGCUCGCUCUUGCAUGGAUUAGCAUGGGAUAAUGAAAUAGGACUUUGGUGCUAUUUUGUGGUUUCGAACACCGAAGUAAUGAUGAGAAGGGACAGUCAGGGGCACU